AUGCUGCUCUCUGGAUUGGGAUGCUGCUCCCCAAAUUGGGAUGCUGCUCUCUGGAUUGGGAUGCUGCUCCCCAAAUUGGGAUGCUGCUCCCCAGGACGAGGAUGCUGCUCCCCGGAUCAGGGUCCCACUCCCACAGGGAGGGACGCAGUUCCAUGGGCUGGGGACGCUGCCCAGGGUGCGCUGCUGCCCCUGGUCCUCAGCACCGCGUCGCCAAGGGGCUCCGCGGCUCACGGGAGCAGAGCUGUGGUGGGCUCUGGCUCUGCCCAGCCCUGGGGCACUCGGGGAGCACUCGGAGCAGCCCCAGCCCCCAGUUCCUGCGUUCCUGCGGGAAGGGGCACAGCCCAGUGCGGGGGGGAUGAGGGCAGGAGGUGGGCACGGGCUGGCGGUCAGUGCCCCGUGGCCAGGCGAGCUGUGACGGCCGAGCGGUGCUGCCUGCGGCAUCGGGGACGUGCCCGGGGCUGGGCACAGCCCGUCGGGGGACUCAUGCAGCACUGCUGCCUGAACCCCGGGGCUGGGGGCUCCCCGCCCCGCUGGCAGCAGCCAGGCUCGGCGUUACCCGCACCCAGCCCUGCCGCAUCCCAGGGCUGUGCUGCCGGAGCCGGGCUGCAUCUGCCCGGUGCGCGGGGCGAGCUGGUGGCCGGGGAGCUCAGGGGACGCGGGCUCGCAGCUCCUCCACAGCUCAGCCCCGGCACUCGGCUGGCUCAAACCCAACCAGGAGCUGUGUGGGGAGGAGUGAGGCCGCCUCAGCGGGGGGCUUGGCUGCCGGCUCCCCACCGCCUCUCCCCGCUGGCACCCUUCCUGGCACCCUCCAGCGCUGCCCGCCCCGGCCACCACCGUCCCUGCCCGCACCAUGUCCUUACAAGGGCACGGGCACGGCUCCUGGGGACUGGCCUCCUGGCACGGGCACGGGGACACGGAGAGCCAUGGCCACCCCACGGCACCCCGCUGUGCCCCAGGCACCCAGCCCUGCUGCCCAGAGCCCUCCGCUCUCCAGCUGUGCCGGUUCCUUCCCGGGCACUUUCCGGGCAGUGUGGCUGCUCCAGGCGCACCACGGCCACCGGCUGCCCGAUGCCAGGGACGUUGGCACCCUUGGGACCCGCUGGUGGCUGA
rnacentral:lncRNA from 1 species